CCUAAUAGCCUUAAAAAGUUACUGAGCUACAGUUUCCUAAACUGUAGGUCGGAGGUUCGAAUCCUCUUUGGGACG
rnacentral:tRNA from 1 species